CGGGUGGAGAGCAGUGGUCCGUGUACACCAGCAAGGAGUGCUACAAGUUCCUGUGAGAAGCAGCCCACUCAGGAUCUAAAAUCCAGAGAGAGGAUGGCUAAGGAAGACGCACCUCUGCUGCAUUAGAACAAAAGAAGCACUUCCAUUUGUGAGUGUGCAUGCACCGUCUCCCGCGGGGGCUCUGCGCUGCUGUCUCCACUCACAGGGCAGGGCCAGCUCCAGGCCUGGGCAGGCAGCAGCUCAAUGCAGCACUGCACCAGGCCCGGGCUCUGCUUCCUGGACACCAGCAGUCUCUCACUGUCUCUGAAGCUUAUGCUGGAGUUCUCCUAAUUGCAUUGAAAACUGAGAAACUGAGGCAGAAAGAGAUUAAGUAAUUUGUCAAAGUCACACAGAUAAAAUUAGGGGCUGGUUCUCAUGGUACUCACAGUCUAUUAAAUAGAGAGGUUUUUGUAUUUUAGCAGAAAAAUUUAAAAUUCCAUUAAAUGUACUAUUAGCCAAAAGCUAGCAAGCAUGUGGGUGAUUGAAAAUUAACUUGAUAUUCAAUUUUCAUUAGGGCACUUGGAGUUAUGUAUUCACCGCCCGUGUCUGUGCCGUUAGUGUUUCUGGUGUCUCAUUAUUUGUCUACAAAAGAAACAUAAUCAGUCUUCUUGUCCAAGUAAUUUUAAUGGACUUUUAGUGAACUAAGCUGGAAUUAUUUUAAAAUGCUCUUAGGAAUGCUAAUAUAACUCCUUUCUAAAAGAAAAAAAGCUGUGAAAUGCAUUAAUGACAAGAAUAAGUGGGUUAACUGACAACUUCGUUGGAACUGGUGUUAAGAAAGCUGAGUGACUUUGUAUUCAGUUUGCAAAAUCGUAGUUUGCCAAGAAUGAGUAAAAUAUAAAAUGUGUGAGAGACCACUUAAUCACUACAGAAAACUUUAAAUUAAGUGCAAUGCUUAGGAACAUACGAUUCAGAAGAUUGCUAAUCUUGUUAAGAAUAUUAUUUUACUAGGCUUAUGUGCAGCAUGAUUGCUACACGGAGCAUUCAGUCAUUGUUGAUGGAACGGGCACGUCCAGAAAGACCACAUCUGUCUUUGGACAUUAAAAUGCUAGUGCUACAUUAUUUAGAUGUUAUAUAAAUAUUAUUUAAAGAGAUCCUUCUUAAGAAACUGUAGUCAUCCAUCAGGAAGAUGUUGUUAGGAGAAUGUAGCUAUAGAAUACAGCUUCCUACAGUUGAAAUUGUCUGGCAUUCCCUCUGGAUUUUUAGUGUAAUGGCAAAGAACCGAAUCAACAAAUAUUAAAUAUCUGAAUAUCUACAGUGUGUGGACAACAAUGCCUGUGGCUUAGUUAACUCUUCCUCACAUUUUUAAAACUGGUUUUUGUUAUUUUCUGUGCUUUUCUGUUAGGAAUUCCCCCAACAUACAUACAUAAAAUACUCUACAUCUCAAUGUAUCACAUUUAUCAUAUCUUUAAUGCCCAUGGGAGGAAGCUUUCUAGCAAGACAGACGUGGCACUGUGUUAGUUUCCUUGGCUGCUGUAAUAAAUUACUGCUAAUGUGGUGGCUUCAAACAAGUCAUCGUCCCGGUGCUGGGGGCGAGAAGUCUGAGGUCGAAGUGCAGAGGGCCUCACUCCUGGUGCCUGCAGACAGAAACACUCCUGGCUCCCACGGCUUCCGGAAGACAUCAGCACCCUUAACUCCCAGCCUCUUGGGCCUGAGCCUCUGCCUGCACGUCCCCUUCUCUGUGUGUGUGUCUCCUCCGGGUUCCUCUUAUUGGGACUCUUGUCAUGGCAUGUAGCACUCAUCCCGUGUGCCAGUCAGCACCACGAGUCAGCGCGGCUGGGUGGAGAUGCCUGUAGAGGUGAGUGGGCCGUGGGGUGCUCUUCUCCUCCAUGGAUCACAGCACUGAGGCUCACAGCUGAGUGCUCUGUUAGGAGUGGGGCCCCAUUGGAGGCGGUCACUGAGGUGUGCCUUGGAGCCUUCUCUGGCUCUCUUGCCCUGUGCUCUGUUUCCCAGUCGCCGUGCACUAGCAGUUCUGCUCCUUCCCACCCUGCCACCAUGAGGUUCCUGCCUUGGAGCCCUGGACUCCACUCAUGGGCUGAGACCUCAAACAAAAAUAAACCUCUCCUUUACACUGUGAA
rnacentral:lncRNA from 1 species